UACGUAGGGCGCAAGCGUUGUCCGGAAUUAUUGGGCGUAAAGAGCUCGUAGGCGGUCUGUUACGUCCGCUGUGAAAACCCAGGGCUUAACCCUGGGCUUGCAGUGGAUACGGGCAGACUAGAGGCAGGUAGGGGAGAAUGGAAUUCCCGGUGUAGCGGUGAAAUGCGUAGAGAUCGGGAGGAACACCAGUGGCGAAGGCGGCUACCUGGACCAGCACUGACACUGAGGCACGAAAGCGUGGGGAGCAAACAGG
rnacentral:rRNA from 1 species